GAAAUCGUACAUUAGUUCCAAGUUCACUGUCAACUCACUUUGGACGAUCUACAACCCUGGCACGCAUUCCUCGUUCCGCCUAAGACAAAGCAUUGAUAUUUAAUCACUGACUGAUUUUACAGCUUCUCCGCCAACUACUGAGAUUCAAAGGCGGAGGUUCUCCUCCUGCUCGGCUUUGGCUCUCUCCUGGGCCUCCUUCUCCUCCUGCAGCCGCUGGGCUUCAUCUCUCUUCCGCUGCUCCUCAGCCAUGGCACGGGCCUCCUCCUCCCUGCAUCGCCUUUCCUCUGCCUCCCGUGCUAUUCGCUCCUCUCUCAGGAUCCUGGAGACGUGGUGCAUCAGGAUGCGAGCUGCCUCCUCUGGGUCAUUGGUGCCUGCCAUAGGCUUGGCUGACGGAGAGGGUGUCGGCGACGCUGCGCGGACAGGAGGAGCUGAAUGGUUCGGCUCAGGGGUGGCAGACCUCUGAGACUCCUUCACUCUUUCAAUGGGGAUGGGAGAGGAGGUUCGGUGGUCUAUUCUGGCAGGGGUCCUGGCUCUCUUGGGCCGGCACUUAGGAGUCGAUGGGCUCCCACGGGUUGAUGGCGGCUUCGGG